UAUUAUGAGAGUUUGAUCCUGGCUCAGGACGAACGCUGGCGGCGUGCCUAAUACAUGCAAGUCGAACGCUUCUU
rnacentral:rRNA from 1 species